rnacentral:misc_RNA from 1 species
AAAGUCGUAACAAGGUUUCCGUAGGUGAACCUGCGGAAGGAUCAUUAUGAAUUUGAACUUGUGCGGCUGUUUCGACCUUGUGUUGAACGCUCACAAUUCUUUUUCUGUGAACUGUUCUCAGACUCUUUUUUUAAUUAAAAAGAGUUUGGGUUACUUUUUUGUUUUCUUGUAUUAUUCCACUUUAUAUUUCGAGUAAUUCUUGCAAAAGAAUGAAACAAAUACAAAAACCAAGACAACUUUCAGCAAUGGAUCUCUUGGCUCUU